AGACAGCAGUAGCCGCGGGAAUACAGAGGGUGCGAGCGUUAAUCGGAUUUACUGGGCGUAAAGCGUGCGUAGGCGGCUUUUUAAGUCGGAUGUGAAAUCCCUGAGCUUAACUUAGGAAUUGCAUUCGAUACUGGGAAGCUAGAGUAUGGGAGAGGAUGGUAGAAUUCCAGGUGUAGCGGUGAAAUGCGUAGAGAUCUGGAGGAAUACCGAUGGCGAAGGCAGCCAUCUGGCCUAAUACUGACGCUGAGGUACGAAAGCAUGGGGAGCAAACAGGAUUAGAUACCCCAGUAGUCCCUGUCUCUUAUAU
rnacentral:rRNA from 1 species